GUGCAUGCAGUGGGGGUUUACCUCCAAAACCCUUCUCUCCACCUCAUGAGAGUAUGGGUCAUACGGCAUGCUAGAGGAAACAUGGGGAGUUUUCAGGGCCACCUGCCUCUCAAGAACAGGCUGAGUCGGUAGUAUAAAACUCCCACAUCU